UUUCCGUAGGUGAACCUGCGGAAGGAUCAUUAUUAUAUAACCGAGGUGCGAGGGCUGUCGCUGACCCGAAAGGUCGUGCACGCCCGAGUGCCCUUACACACAUCCAUCUCACCCCUAUGUGCACCACCGCGUGGUCCCCUUUUGGCUUGUUCGGAGGGGGGAUUACGUUUUCACUCAAACGUUGUAUGCAGUGUAGAAUUUAUUAUUUGUUUUUGCGAUCACGCAAUCAAUACAACUUUCAACAACGGAUCUCUUGGCUCUC
rnacentral:misc_RNA from 1 species